UUUGUAUUACUUUUACAAUUAAAAAAUAACAAGCAUUUGAUUUGUAUUUGGUUGAGUUGCAUUUUAACUGUUUAGCUUAAAUUGGGACAAACAUUUUGGAUAUUCUUCCACAAACUUCUCCAGAUAGUUUUCUGGAAAUCAGGCCAAUUCCUGGUGAAAGAACUAAUAUUACCAUGGUCAUUUUUAAGCUUUGUCCAUAAAUGUUCUAUUGGAGUAACAUCAGACCUUUGUCACAUUUCCACAAUGUCUCUAGUUUUGUGGUAUGUUUAAGUAAUUGUACAUUUGAAACACCCAUUUUUGCCCAAACAAAUGGGUCAAAUUCUUUAUAUUGUACUGGUAAAGAUCCCAUACAGUUGAUAUUUUUUGUCCACAAUCAUAUCUACUUUGUGUCAUAUUUAUAAAAAUACUUUUUGAUGUAUACAUUUCCAUUGAAGGAAAAAUAUUAAUUUGAACUGAUGUUGAACAUGUUCUAUCAUUUACAGGAAAUCCAUCAGUUUUAGGUAAAAAAGAAACAGAGAACAAAUAAGGGGGGAUAGCCGGGAGGGCUGAAUAUGUGUUCCAUUAAAAGUCAAAAUACACAUAAAGUAGAUCAUUUUGAUGUAUGGGUCAUUGAUUUUCCCCAUCACCCAAUUCUGAGAAGUUCAUCAUUCAUGACUGUGUUACUAAUUGAUCUUUAUCUCAAAAGAUAUUAAAAAUAAGCAUCCAUGAUUUGAUGAAUUUGCUUUAAUCAAAGAAAAAAAAAUAUACAAAAGUUCCUUUGCCAAAAGCCUACUUUUAAUUAGUUAAACUGAGUUGAUGUCCCAGAAGCAUGUUUCAUUUCUCUUCGGGUGACGGGGGUUACCACUUAAAUUCACAUUCUAAUGUGUCUUCUUCCACCUCAGUGAUUUUGCUGUACAGACCACCGUCCCCCUCGGGUGCUCAGGUAUGUGUGGAACAAAAUGGAGUCCUAAUUGAAAAUGAUCACCGAGAGAAGCAAGAGCCGCAGGGUCCCCUAAUGAUCAAGGCAUGGAUCAGCUGGAGCCUCCUCAGCCUCCCAUAAAAGGAUUUCAGAGCAGAUGACACAAGUUACACUGUGGAACCAGUGGUUGCUGUGCAUGAGAGAAAGAAAUCCAUAAGAAGCUACAAUCCAGCAGUAGUUUACGAUGUGUGGAUUUGACCAUAAGAGCAUGCACAGUCACAAAAACCAUGGUUGGAACAUACAUGUACAGAGAAACCUACUGGACUGCUGGGUGGAGGAUGUACAGCUUCUGCAAGUCCUUUUAGACCUCAGAGCAUUUUAAAAAAGCACCAACCAACAAUAUGAUUACAAAGGAGAAGAAGCCAAAGUUGUGCAAAGUUUUCAAAAUGUCAGCUCUUUCGCAGUUUCCUGUUUAUUUCUUUCUUCAAGAGAAUCACCCUCAGCAGCCAGACUGCACAUUCAACUCAACACACAACCCAUGUGCAGUCUUGUUUAUUCUCAUCUUCAGCUAAUUCGCCUACUCGACCACGUUUGGUUGCUCACUCUGCUGUCCUUCAAAUCUCCUUUAUCUCUCCAGUUUUUCCUGUGGAACACAUGCACUCUCCCCAAAGACUGCACACUGUUGCUCUGCCUGCCCUCCUGUGUUUUUAGCAAUUUGGACCUUUCUUCGUCCAGUCAGCCAGCACUCAGUGUCUGAAAUUCCAGUUUUUGUGGCUUUGCCUUAAGGUCUUUUCAAUGUUGGGUCAAAACAAUGCAAAGCAU